UUGCUCGAGUGGCGGACGGGUGAGUAACACGUGAGUAACCUGCCCUUGACUUUGGGAUAACUUCAGGAAACUGGGGCUAAUACCGGAUAGGAGCUCCUGCUGCAUGGUGGGGGUUGGAAAGUUUCGGCGGUUGGGGAUGGACUCGCGGCUUAUCAGCUUGUUGGUGGGGUAGUGGCUUACCAAGGCUUUGACGGGUAGCCGGCCUGAGAGGGUGACCGGCCACAUUGGGACUGAGAUACGGCCCAG
rnacentral:rRNA from 1 species